rnacentral:rRNA from 1 species
GAUCCUGCCAGUAGUGUAUGCUUUUCCUAAAGAUUAAGCCAUGCAUGCCUAAGACUAUGAGGAAGCAAUUCUCUCUGAAUCUGCGAACGGCUCCGCAAACCAGUUGUAAACCAUAGCAGCGUUCCGCCCGGCUUCAGCAAUGGAGCCGGGCAUUAUAUGGAUAACCGUGGUAAUUCUGAGGCUAAUACAUGACACACUAACCCGUCGGGCUGGGGCAACCCGGCUAGGCGGGGGACGUGCGAUUCCCAAUGCUACAUAUAAAAUACCGCGAAUGAACGCACGUUCAGACCGCCAUUCAACGGGUAAGAGGGGCUUCGGCUUUUCGAACUCGGGCGGCCCCUGCAACGGGCUUCUGACCUAUCAACUAGACGGCAGCUUAAGGGACAUGCUAUGGUAACAACGGGUACAGAGGAUUAGGGUUCGAUCCUGGAGAGUGGGCCUGAGAGAUUGCUCAUACUUCUAAGGAAGGCAGCAGGCGCGCAACGUUCCCCUUGGGCAAAGCUCGAGGGCGUUAUGGGAAAUAUGAAUGCUUGCCUAUACGGUGGGCAAUUCAAAUGGGUUUGUCGUAAACAGGCUCUCGAGUAACAAUUAGAGGACAAGUCUGGUGCCAGCACCCGCGGUAAUUCCAGCUCUAAUAGCAUACGUUAAAGUUGUUGCGGUUAAAACGUUCGUAGUCGAUUGCUGGCCAUCACAAGCCGCUUGUUGUGCGUCAUUGAUGCCCGUAGGGUGCUUGGCGUGUGGCAUGUGGUGGACGUUGGCCGGCCGCGUUCUCCCGGCGUGCAGCUCCGGCUGCUUACAGGGCUUGCCUUCUCCGUGGCUUCGGUCGCGUAUAGAGGGGGUGGGUCUGGCCGGGGAGCGCCCUUUGCCAUGAUUAAACUAGCGUGCUUAAGGCAGGCCAUUCGGUCUUUUUUUGCAUAGCCCAGCAUGGCAUAAGGCAGCUGACUCGCUGUCCAAGGGGACGGGUCGGCUAGCUCGAUACAGGGGUGUUCGAGGGUGACCGAAUUGCCGGGCGAGUGGUGAAAUACGUUGACC